rnacentral:siRNA from 1 species
UAAGCAUUUUGAUGGUAUGUU